UACGGGAGGCAGCAGUGGGGAAUAUUGCACAAUGGGCGCAAGCCUGAUGCAGCCAUGCCGCGUGUAUGAAAAAGGCCUUCGGGUUGUAAAGUACUUUCAGUCGUGAGGAGGGUGUUAAGGUUAAUAACCUUAGCAAUUGACGUUAGCGACAGAAGAAGCACCGGCUAACUCCGUGCCAGCAGCCGCGGUAAUACGGAGGGUGCGAGCGUUAAUCGGAAUUACUGGGCGUAAAGGGCACGCAGGCGGUUAAUUAAGUUGGAUGUGAAAUCCCCGGGCUUAACCUGGGAAUGGCAUUCAAGACUGGUUAGCUAGAGUCUUGUAGAGGGGGUAGAAUUCCGAUGUGUAGCGGUGAAAUGCGUAGAGAUGUGGAGGAAUACCGGUGGCGAAGGCGGCCCCUGGGACAAAGGCUGACGCUCAUGUGCGAAAGCGUGGGGAGCGAAACAGGGAUUAGAUA
rnacentral:rRNA from 1 species